CCUGUCACCAUGGCAACCUGUUUCCUUGGGCCCUGGGCUGUGCAUCAGAAAGGCCUCGGUCUGCUGCUGCUGUGUAUCUCGCCUGUGAUACUUACCAAAAGAGAUUAGGCCCAUCUUGAGAAGGGACCUCUCUGGACCUGUUGGGCCGGGGGAAGCGCCCGUCUCUCCUCACCUUGACACUGAGAGACACGUGUUCUGUCCACCUGGAGCUUAGAAGGGUUCUGUCUACCUCCAACCUUGUCUACCAGAAGGAAAAGACAGACAAAGUUCCUGUAAUUGAGAUAUUUUUAGGCUAGAAGCUACUGAGACGAGCCAGAGUUUCGUUCUGACUCCACGGUGGUGUGACAGACCUCAUUUCUUUCUCUGCCGCAGAAGCUUCAAACUGACUAGUCCCAUCGAGGGGACAAAGCAGGCCCAGGAGAAAAAAGAGGUGCAAAUUCUGAAUCCAUAGGAUGGAGUUUCAAAGACCUGGGGAAAAUUCUUCUCACAUACGGUGGGAGGAGGGUAGUGACUCCAAUGACUUUAUAUACAACAUCCACCGAACCUAAUAAAAACCUUCAGUGGCGA